rnacentral:rRNA from 1 species
UAAUACGGAGGGGGCCAGCGUUGUUCGGAAUUAUUGGGCGUAAAGGGCGCGUAGGCGGCCGUUCAAGUCGAACGUGAAAUCCCUCGGCUCAACCGGGGAACUGCGUCCGAUACUGUGCGGCUUGAGUCCUGGAGAGGGUAGUGGAAUUCCCAGUGUAGCGGUGAAAUGCGUAGAUACUGGGAGGAACACCGGUGGCGAAGGCGGCUACCUGGACAGGUACUGACGCUGAGGCGCGAAAGCUAGGGGAGCAAACAGGAUUAGAUACCCUGGUAGUCCUAGCUGUAAACGAUGGGCACUUGGUGUUGCGGGUAUCGACCCCUGCAGUGCCGAAGCUAACGCAUUAAGUGCCCCGCCUGGGGAGUACGGUCGCAAGGCUG